rnacentral:lncRNA from 1 species
ACUCUCUCCUGCUGAUGCUGCAGCUGCUGGGAUGCCAGGAGGGGAACCGCCUGAGGAAAGUGCUGAGAGAAAAGAGAGGGAGGGAUACAGACCGGGCCCAGAUGAGUUUGCGCUGAAUCUGAAGUCGGUAGGUCCCUGGACAUUUCUAUUAUGGAAGCCAAGAAGAACCUCCCCUCCACCCUCUGAAGCCAGUGUGGAUCGGGUUUCUGGCACUUGCAGUGUCUGCACGGUCUCCUCUCCUUCCUUCUCCAUUGCCCUUUCUCACCCGCCUGGGCCCGCCACCCUGAACUACCGGGACACAUGCUGUUCCUGCCUCCAGGCGUGCACUUCUUCCUGCAGCCUCCUCCCCUACUAACUCCUUCUUGAACUUGAUAGCUCCAUUGUCACUUUCGAGUCUUCCCUAAACCACUCCCUUCCCAAAUAAAACUGUUUCAUGUAUUUUUCUUUCAUUGGGCUUAUCACGAUUUCUAAUUAAGUGUUUGGGUGGUUAUUUGACAAAUAUCACCACCUCAGCCCCUGUACACUGUAAGCCCCAUGAGGGUGGGCUCUUCGUCCCUCCUGCUGAUCACUGUUUCCCAGGGCCUGGCACAAGUAUGGUACUCAAGAAAUGUCUGGAAAAUUGAGUGCCUUAUCCUUUCUGGAAAGAAAAUGGGCAGUAGCGCAGCAUUAUAUAGUGUUUGCACCAUACAAGAAUAAUAUUACUGGAAAAAAAAAAACUUUUCUAAGAGACAGAGUCUUGCUCUGUUGCCCAGGCUGGAGUGCAGUGGUGCAAUCAUAGCUCACUGCCGCCUCGAACUGGGCUCAAGUGAUCCUCCCGCCUCGACCUCCAAAACGCUGGGAUUGCAGUCAUGAGCCACCACACCUGGCCUUGAAUUUUUUAAAAAAUCCACUCUCAUUAACCAGAAUGAGCUAGCUCCAGUGUAUCACCGCGUCCAGGGUUCUGCAGUGGGGUGGCUUGCUCCUCAAUAGUUUCCCGCACUGCAGGCACUUAGUUUGUAGUUUCAUUUGUUCUGUUAUAGCAAUACCACUCUUCCAUCCGCCAUCCAUUCUCCAAGGACUAUUGAAAUCCCUUGUAGGCUGAUGUCAAAACUCUCAUUCUCUUUAUCCUUGGGGUUUAGGCCAUAGGAGUGUGCCAUGGUAGGUGUUCAGCCAAGCUGACCCACCAGGUGACUGCAGCCCCAGCCACCACCUGACUGCAACUUUAUGAAAGACCCUAAGCAAGAGCCACCUAGCUAAGACCAAUCAAACCACAAAAAAUUGAGAGCUAAGAAAUUUUUUAUUAAAGCCCAAGUCUGGGCAUAUUUUGUUAUACAAUGGGUAAUGAGCAAGAAAGGAGCAAAAGCAUAAUGUAAAGCUUGUGGUCAGUUCCACACGAAUGCAGUUUUUGGUUAGUCCAUUGCUAAACUUGAUAAUCCCUUGCCCACUUGGAUGUUUGCAGUCAGAGUCUUUGCAUGUAAUAGAAGUGCUCAGCUUGCUGCAACACGUCAUUGGCCAUAUUCAAGGGCUAAACUGCUGUAUAUCGACUAUAAAUCAAGAUACUCAAGUCUAAGACAUUUCCCUUCAACAUUUUUUAAAGGAAGGAAAGGAAUCUUUGCUAUAGUUUGAUAGAAAUUUUUGAGCAGUAUGGUGUAACAAAAAACACAGGAUUCUCCUUCAAAUGGUUGUGCAAAUGAAAAAACAGGGACUUAGGUGUCCAUCACUAGGAUGGAGCCUGCUUCCUGCCUCCUGUCCUCAUUGUGGAAAUGACCCUGGACAGAUCCACCUCUCUAAGUUUCUGUUUCCUCAGUGGAAAAAUGAGCACUAAUAUUAGCAGCCAUAUGAUGGUUGGGGGUGAGGAGUUACUUUUAGAUGGAGUCCAUGAGUAUGAGGCACCGAGGAAGCUUUUGCAGCUGCCUCUCUGCUCUCGCCUGUCUGGCUAUCAGGGAAGAAAAACAAGGCACCCCUUUUUCCCCAGUGGAAGAGGAUGGCAGCUUGCCUGGCUGUAGGAGGCAGCGGAGGCCAAAGCCAGGUCACCAGCCAAGGAGGCCUUGGAAGUUCCUAUAGAGUCCUUUCCUGCAUCCUCCAGCUUUUUUCCUUUUUCUUUUCUUUUUUCUUUUUUUGAGAUGGAGCCUUGCUCUGUUGUCCAGACUGGAGUACAGUGGCGCAAUCUUGACUCACUGCAACCUCCACCCUCCCGGGUUCAAGCUAUUCUCCUGCCUCAGCCUCCCAAGUAGCUAGGACUACAGGUGCAUGCCACCACACCCGGCUAAUUUUUGUAAUUUUACUAGAGAUGGAGUUUUGCCAUGUUGGCCAGGCUGGUCUCGAACUCCUGACCUCAAGUGAUCCACCCAUCUCGGCCUCCCAGAGUGCUGGGAAUACAGGCAUGAGCCACUGUGCCCGUCCUCUUUUCUCCUUUUUCUAUUUUCCCCCAAAAUGAAAGGAACUUCAUUGUCUUUUUUUUUUUUCCCGAGGCUGAGUCUCACUCUGUCAUCCAGGCUUGAGUGCCGUGGCGCGAUCUUGGAUCACUGCAACCUCUGCCUCCUGGGUUCAAGCGGUUCUCCUGCCUCAGCUCCCCAGCAGCUGGGACUAAGAACUUCAUUGUCUUUUGUAAGCAUAAUAAUAUUUACACAUUGUAAGAAAAAUUCAAAUGAGAAAGAAGAAAAAAUUAAAAAGAUAUUUGCCAUUAUCCCAUGUGGAGAGGUAGCCACUCUUGGAAUUUUCCAAUAUGCCUUUUCCCUGUAACAAUUUAUUGCAGGCAUGAUUCCAUGUUGAUGAAUUCAGGUCGACAUCAUCAUGAUAUGAGCUGUGAAUGAAAGACUGUAGUCUUGGGAACCAGCGCCUAGAUCCAAAUUCCUUCUCUCCUCACCAGCUGUGUGACCUCAACAAGUUUCUUAACCUCUCUAUACCUGUUUCCUCAUCUACAAAAUAGGAAUAAUAACAGCAUCUAUGUCAUAGGGGAAUCUUGAUGACCACUUGAGUUAUCUGGCACACAGUUGACUACCACUUUCUAUUAACCGCAGCGAUUAUGAGCUAUUGUGAUAUGGAUGAACCAUUAUUUUCUCUUAACUAAUCCCUCAUUCUGGGCACUUUUUACUAUUAAUACAUAACCUGUCUUUCUACCUUUGCCCAAGUAUUUCCUCACGUUAAAUUUCUAGAGGUAAGCUUGUUUGGUCAAAGGAUAUGCCCUUUUAAAAUUUUGUUCCCUGAAAUUUUGUACCAAUUUACAGUCUCACCAGGAAGGUGGAAGAGCAUCCAUGUCUCUUCAUCUUCACCAACACCAGGCACCAUCCAUUAUUUUUAGCUUGUCCAAGUGAAUAGUCAAUGUUUUCUGGGCUUUUAAAAUUACUUGUCCACGGGCCAGGUGUGGUGGCUCACACCUGUAAUCCCAGCACUUUGGGAGGCCGAGGCAGGCAGAUCACCUGGGGUCAGGAGUUCAAGACCAGCCUGGCUGACAUGGGGAAACCCCAUCUCUAC